AAUUUUGAAUUUACUGGGUGGGUGUAAAUACAAAAUUUACAGUCAUGUUGUAAAUAUUGUAUUUACACCCACCCAGUAAAUUCAAAA
rnacentral:pre_miRNA from 10 species